CUCGAGCUUGUGUCCAAGUAUACCCGACAGAGCAGAGCAGGGACUUGGACCCCGAGGAGCCAGCCUGUGCUGGGGAGGCCUGAGGAAGACGUGGGGACACGUCCACGCUGAUGAGCCACAGCUUCCUCAGAAUCUGCGGGGAGUCUUCAGGGGGCAGCGUUCACGAUGACAGGAGCCCCGGUCUCCUCAGGACACAUGGUGAGGCUUUUCAGUAAGAUGUGAGUCCGCAUCCAUGCUGACAGGAGCCCCUGGGCCACCUCAGGACACGCGGGGAGGCUUCUGAAAGAUGUGGUGCCGCGUUCACUCUGUCAGGAGCUAAUGGGCCCCUCAGGACAUAAGUUGAGUCUUCUGGAAGCUGGGGGCCGCAUCCACAGUGACAGGAGCCUCGGCCACCUCAGAACCUGUGGUGACGAUUCAGGAGGACGUAGGGCCACAUCCACACAACCGGACACUGAUGUCCUCAGGACCCCCGGUGUAGAUGUUGGGAAAUAUGGGGAUGUGUCCGUGCGGACAGAAGACCCCAGCCUUGUCAGAGGCUAAGAAAGAUGUGGAUGCCGAAUCCACACUGACAGGAGUCUCCGGCCUCCUCAGGAUGCACUGUGAAGGACUGGGAUGAUUUGGGGCCACGUCCAUGCUGACAGGAGCCCCCAACCUCCUCAGGUCUUAUGGUGAGGCUGAGGAAAUUCUGGGGCCACGUCAAGACUGAGAGGACCCCUGUCCUCCUCAAGACCUGCACUUUGGCUUUGGGAGACAUGGGUCUGCGUCUAGGCUGACAGGAACCCACAGCCUCCUCAGGACCUGCGGUGCGUUUUCUGGGGGACGUGGGGCCAUGUCCAGGCUGACAGGAGCCCCGGGCCUCCUGAGAACCUGCUGUGAGGCUUCCAGAGGAUGUGAGGCAUACCCACAGUGACAGGAGACCAGGCGUACUCAGGACCCGCUGACUAAGUCUCUGGAACACGUGGGGCCACAUCUGCACUCACAGGACCCCGGCUUCCACAGGACCUCCUGGAGGACUCUGGAGGUGCCAUUGGGGACCACGUCCAUAUCAGUAGGGACUCCUCAGAACCAUAGGCUCAGUCACUCAUCAGGGAAUGCAUCUUUAUGGAUUUGGAAAGAACUGAGAAACAUUAUUACAAUGGUCCUAUUAUUAUGUGAAGGAUUCUUCCCUGCGAUUCUUCCCCUAAUUCAACUGACACUGAAAAACUGUGAACUCUUUGGAAGACGAAUGUCAAGGAAAUAAAUGUUAUGCAUUGCUAAUUUUAAA